rnacentral:lncRNA from 1 species
AUGACUCUUCAGGAGUUGGUGCUUUGGGCUGCCUCCGUCUAUAUGGAUAGAACAACUGUAUGUUUUGGCAAAGGCGACCACCAUCCUCCAGUGUGCUAUAUUUACAAGGCUCUGUUGAGCGAGGCUUCAGAAUUAUCCGGUUUUCUGCUAGCACACCGUGACUUUGGAGGAAAUUCGGGAAACUGGCCUCUAUUGUCAACCUGGGAUAAACUUACCCUCCUGGAUUUUAGGGAUUCUUCAGGUCCCCACAGCUUAUGUGCCCAUUGAUCCAGAUACCCCACCAUCAUUAUCAGCCCACUUUAUGAAAAAAAAAAUGU